rnacentral:ncRNA from 2 species
AUAAAAAGCUAGGGGUGCCUUUUCAGGCUGAGAAAUACCCUUAUUAGUUGAACUGGAUAAUGCCAGCGUAACGAAGCUAUAAGUAGAUCAU